GGGCAAGUAACUCAGUAGGUAAGAGUAUGUGCCUGAUAAGCGCAAAGUCAGGGGUUCAAGUCCCUUCUUGCCCA
rnacentral:tRNA from 1 species